GAUGAAGAACGCAGCGAAAUGCGAUAACUAAUGUGAAUUGCAGAAUUCCGUGAAUCAUCGAGUCUUUGAACGCACAUUGCGCCCCCUGGUAUUCCGGGGGGCAUGCCUGUCCGAGCGUCAUUACAACCCUCAAGCCCGGCUUGUGUAAUGGGCGGCCGUCUCUCCCCCCGGGGGGAGACGCCCCCGAAACUCAGCGGGGAUGUCGCGAUACCGAAGCCUCAGCUAAUGGGUAAACCACAGCUGCAAUGGCCGCGGCCGGCGUCCGCCUUCCACGGUCCGUCCGCCUAGCGCGGGCGGCCUUCUCAAGGUUGACCUCGGAUCAGGUAGGGAUACCCGCUGAACUUAAGCAUAUCAAUAAGCGGAGGA
rnacentral:misc_RNA from 1 species